AAGUAUCCCUGGUCCCCCAAGAGGGAAUCUUUCUCUCCUUUACCCUUUGGUGUUUCUUAAUGUGCUGCUUGGCCUGUCUGUCCUCCCCUGACUGAGCACCUUAAGGACGGCUCUGUAGCUGAGAUACGUGGGCGAGGGAGUCAAGGACUGCUGGAAUGAAUGAACAUAGGAGCAGCCAGUCUGCCUGUUUCCUGCCAACACUUCCAGUCUUUAACUACCUUUCGGGUUUUGCCCCUUCCCUGCUCAGACUUUCUCCGUAGCUCCCUGUUUCUUAGCGCAUCCAGUCUGCUGUGUAUGCCUCUUCCCAGCUGUGGGUAUGCCCCUCAGCCCAUGGGUCGCACUCACAAUCAGGCACCCUUUCCUUCUCCAGGCCAGCCUUGUGCUGGCCACUUCCCCAGGGACAGGCGUGUGAGCCUCUUGCUGGCCUUAUGGAGCCCUCAAACUGGAGAGGAUGCAAGAGGGGAGAUGCCCAGCAACAAUACCAGGCUGAGCGUACAAGGAUAAGAACGUGUACAGGAGCAGAACUUGUACCACAGACGAAGGAGAGGGAGUAGAGAGAGCUUCAGGGAAGGGAGAGGGAAUGCUGAGCAGGGUUUAGAAGGCUGAAUAUGAGUUCACCAGGUGGAUCAGAGGGAAGGCCAUGCUUGGCAGAGGGAAGAUAGCAGAUAGGCAGUGAGUAAUUGCUGAAGAGAAGAAAGAAUCUCUAGACUACACUCAGAGAUUGAUGGUGGAGCCCUAGAUUUGGACUCCCGGGUCAGCUCUGCUAUUUACUUGCUAAACAUCACUGAGCAAGCUCCUUUUCUGGAGUCUCAAGACCCACAUCUGUAAAAUGGAUGUAACAUCCCUCCUGGGACUGCCUGACGAGAAACGGAUAUACAUAAAAAUUUAUCCAAAUAAACAGUGUGAUUCAUGACGUCAGAAAUUCAAUCAACUCCCUUUCCCAGGUCAGGGUGGUAUUUGAAGACAAAGCAGAAUGGCCAGAAAAACAGCUUUACCCUCGCCCCACCCCACCAUACCUGUCCAGACCCCCAGGACCUGCUCAAAAUUCCAUUUCUAGGUGAUCUCUCUCUGUAAACGUUUUAUGACCCCUGGAGGCUACUGUUUAGAGGUAAACUCAUCAGAAGCGAUUGACACUGGAUCAGAGAGAGAUUCUCAGGUGGACAAGUUUAUUUUGGGUGUGGCUAAGUCCUGGGGAACAGGAUUUAACUCCAACCAGGGAGGGAACACCGGAGAAAGCCCACGGAAGUGGCAUCCGAGUCUGGAAAGUUGGGAUGCAGGGGGAGGUAGGGCAGGAGCAGAUGGCUGGAGGGGGACCACGAAGGAGCAGCUUGAGCCGGAGAGAGAGCCAGGCAAGGAUAGCCUGGGCUUCUGUACAGCCUGCCAGCUGGGGCCAAGAGGGAGCCUUCUGAGCGGACGGGCCCUGAUGUGGAAAAGCUUACGAAGCCU
ensembl:lncRNA